rnacentral:rRNA from 1 species
AUUGAACGCUGGCGGCGUGCCUAACACAUGCAAGUCGAGCGGUAACAGGUGUAGCAAUACAUGCUGACGAGCGGCGAACGGGUGAGUAAUGCUUCGGAAUCUACCCAAUGGUGGGGAAUAACCAGCCGAAAGGUUGGCUAAUACCGCAUACGUCCCACGGGAGAAAGCAGGGGAUCGCAAGACCUUGCGCCAAUGGAUGAGCCGAAGUCGGAUUAGCUAGUUGGAGGGUAACGGCCUACCAAGGCGACGAUCCGUAGCUGGUCUGAGAGGACGACCAGCCACACUGGGACUGAGACACGGCCCAGACUCCUACGGGAGGCAGCAGUGGGGAAUAUUGGACAAUGGGGGAAACCCGUGAUCCAGCGACGCCGCGUGUGUGAAGAAGGCCUGCGGGGUUGUAAA